CCCAGGGAAGGAAGUGGGUGGUGGUAGAGUGAGGAGGAAACUCUGAACAAGGGUGCCAUUUUCCUCAGCUCACCCUCUUCCUGCCUUGGACAACGAAGUGACGAGGAGAGGAAAAUCCCAGGUGAUCCAGUCUAAUAGUGCAAUGGAAAAAGCACUGUGAGUUAGGGACCCUGGUUUCUUGUGUCAGGCAAACUAACUGUGUGAUUUUGGGCAGGUCAGGACCCUCUCUGGCUUCAGUGUCCUGUUGGUACAGCAGGCAUGCUAAAAAACUGGAAGGGAUCAUGUAGCUCCAUAGCAGCUCUAGGUUAUGAUUGUCUAAAGCAUUUGUCUUUGUCUUAUUUUGUUUGAUUUUAUUUGCUUUGUUUGAUUUUAACACUGGUGUAAAUAUUCUACCAUAGACCAAUGGAAUGAAAAUUUCUGGAGGUGGGUCCUGUCUUAGUACAUUUAAAUUAUUUUUUCAGGAGAUUUCUAAAGUGUAGGUAUGUUAGUCAGCUUUCUGUGACUGUAACAAAUACCUGAGGUAAUAAGUUUAUAAAGAGGAAAGGUUUAUUUUGGCCCAACGCUUUGGAAGUAUCAGUCCAGGAUUGGUUGACCUUAUGGCUUUUGGGCCUGGGUUGAGGCAGUACAUCACAGUGGCAAUGCCUGGCAAAACCUUAUGAUCA
rnacentral:lncRNA from 1 species